GCGUAUGCGUGUGCGUGUGUGUAUGUUUUCAGGCAUACACAGCUAAGGAACUGAAACCUAGCAAGAGGAUAAGGCUUUAACCCCUGAACCUGGGUCUGAUGGUGUAGGUCCUGGACCGAGGUGGCUUUGACCUAGCUAUUUGUAGGCUUAGGUCAGACGACACAACCAAGACAGGAGUGUCACAAAAAGACUGAAGCCUCGAUUCCAGCAUAUGGUUUUGAUGGAUUCUGAGGACCUGGAAAUACGGCUAUGACUGCUGGAGUGAAAAGGGGGUACCUUCAGGUUUUUUGUUUGUUUUGUUAAGAUUUAUUUUUAUUUUAUGUAUGUAAGUACACUGUCGCUGUCUUCAGGCACACCAGAAGAAGGCAUCGGAUCCCUUUACAGAUGGUUGUGAGCCACCAUGUGGUUGCUGGGAAUUGUACUCAGGGCCUCUGUAAGAGCAUUCAGUGCUCUUAACCGCUGAGCCAUCUCUCCAGCCCGGUGGCUUGAGUUUUUAUAGUCAGGGCUCCACAAUCUAUACCCUCCAAGCCUUUGACCCAGCCUCAGAAGUUUGCUUUCAAGGGUUCUAAAUACAAAAACCGUGAGUAUAAACAAGGCCACUGCCCUUAGCGCCACACUUGCUUAGGAAGGAGACCGCAAGGAUUAUGGAGAUGAUGCCUGCCCUCUGCUUGGGCUACUUAAGUUUGGGGUCAGCAAGACUAAAGCGAAACGGAGGAAGCCAUAGGGGGAAAAAAGCCCAUGGGCAAGGGAACAAGGUCGUGGCACUGCGGGAGUUUCCUGCUUUGUAAGUCCGCUAGGUCAGGUGAGGUAGGGGUGAGCUUGGGCUGUGGAAAGCUGAGACCAAGUCGUAGAACAACGCCGAGGCUGCAGGUCUCGACGCUAAACCUAGCGGACUGCAGUAGCUCGCCGGCUUGCUAGUUCUUCCGGGCUCUAGCUCCGGCCGGGUCCGACCCCCGCCCCGGGUCCACCCAGCAGCCCGCUCCUUUAAGGAUCAGCCACUCUGAAGCCCUCCUGGGUCCUCUCCGUGCUCUUUUACCUUUCUCUUCCGCCGGAAGCGGCUCCGGAAGAUACGGCAGUUUUGGAUCCGCCUCCAUUCUCUUCGCUUGUCUGCCGAGGGUUGGCCCAGAAAAACCUCAGAGAAGCCAUGGCAACAAAGGGCCCUGUACUUUCUAUAGAGGAGCACCCUGCCUUUGUCUGAUCCAGCCCGGUGCUCCUCUGUCUCUGCAAACAACAAAAGAUGUGGCCACCCGGCUGGCUUCCCCGCCCCCACUAGAGCGCUAACCGAGACUGAGGCAGGUACAGCUCAGCAGACCAGGAGCAGGGCUCACAAGUGAGGUCAUGCUUAAUAAACUUGAUUAAUUUCUUUGAGCAGCAGCCUUGCAAGAGGACAAGGGUGAAACAAGAGACAGUAAUUCAUCCUGAUUUCGAGGUGCAAGAAUACAGCUACAACCAGCAGAGAUUUUUGUGAAGAUGCUGUUGGGGCCUGGAGAGUCCCCUGGGGCUCAGCCAUGGAAGCUGCAGGAAAACUCAGGGACAGGGACAUAUUUGCUCAUGAUGGCUUAGUGAAAAGGGAACCCGUACAGGGGACAGAACAUGGAUCCUCUAAGUCGUUGGACCAAGACACAGUCUCCUGCUUGGAUCCCUUGAAAUGUGUCCUGAGCAUUUUGAUCUGAUAACAGUAAAGAUAAUCCUAGCUGCAA